GUUUAUAUAUUUUAUAUGUUGAAAGUGGGCUGAUGAAAAAUCUACCCGUCGGGUUUAGAGGCCUCCCCAAUAUUAAAAGACGGAAUUUUAAUUUAAGUUUAUAUAUUUUAGUUGUUGAAAUUGGCCGAUGAAGAAAUUACCGUCGAUUUCCAAGGCCUCCCAUGUUAAUAAGACGAAUUUUUUUUUUGAGUUAUUCAUUUUUAUUUGUAUUUAUUUGGUACUAACUCUUUUACUAAGUGUUUACAGGUACCCGGAGGUGCAUCUCCUUAAAUUAUUCGAAUGAAGUUCGAACCGUACUUUAUUUCAUUAUUAUAUGAGUAUUGACGUUAGGCAAACUUUAGGCCGAUAAUUAUUAUUUUAUUUUAUUUUAUUGUGUAUAUUGUGUGUUUAUUAUAUCUGUACAUUAUUUUAUAUUCUUCCUCAAUUUGAAAAAAAAUGAAUUCAGUCGGUAACCAUAUUUGUGGAUUCCGAAGGGUGCCUAACCCCUUCCCUUCGGAAUAACUUGAACCCCCUAAUCUAGAAUCAAUUGGUUUCGUAGACUUUGCUUUAAUAAUUGGUUUCCUAGUUUUCCUAAAAUUAGGUGGCGACUCUUUUAAAACUCGUUUAUUUUGAAUCAAUUAAUAAUUUUCGAGUUGCCGCGACGUUUCGUCCUAUUUCGAAAGAGUAGGGAUGUAAACAGAAAUAACUCUUUUUUUUGUUUUCUUCAAUUAAAUUGUAAACUGUAAACUUGAAUACAACCCGAAAGACUAUCUUUUGAAAAGUGUAUUAAGCAACAUGCCUUUUUCUUCUUGAUUGUUAGGAAAGUAAGAUUCUUUUUAAUAUUAUUUCUGGAUAUUUGUGAGUUCAAGUGCUCACAAAAUUAUGUUUUGAGAUUUUAAUAUGUUAUGUGUCAUAAUUUUGAUUUACCAUACCUCGUUUUGAACAUUUAGAUAUAACCUAGUGCUUGGUUGAUAAUAGCAUUAUUUUUUUUUGUAACUGCAUACUAUAACCAUAAUAAUAACUAUGGUUUAGUCCAAAUAUGUUGGGGCCUGUGAUAUGAAACCUUAAAAAUAGUAAUGACGAUUUUGAGACAAUGACAAGAAACAUUUAUAAUAAUAACUUUAGAGUCAGUUUUAGCAUAUACUUGCAUACAAUAAUAAAAAAUGAGAUUGGAGGUUCAUAAGAAAGGAGUCCAAGGUCAUCCAUUUGAAUUUAGUAAAUUAUGAUCUUAUAUGGAUGUGAUGUUCUACUUUACUUGGCAGUGUUGUUGGUUGACAUUUUUUGUCUCUUUUUUUAACGUUUGAUGUUGUUCGUUAUAACUUCUUGGAACUUAACAAAUUUCACUACAUCAAACCAAGGGAGAUUUUCUUAUACUUAAAAUAUAUCUAUGACUCAUAAUUUUUGUAUAACAAAAAUAAAAAAUUAAAAAAAUAUAGCACUUUAAGAUUUCGAGGAACAAUUUGUCUUAGAACAAAAUGUUAUUAAGAGUAUAGUGUAUGUAUCAAAAAUACGAAUAUUACGAAUGAUCAUAUGCAAGCUUGGUAAAAUAGUUCAAUCUCAUGCGAAACACGGGUAAUUUACCUAGUACAAUAAUUGUAACGAACCUUUUGGUUGUUUUGAGUAUUAGAGUUUUUUAUUUCAUUAAAUACUUUUUGAUUUAAAGAGACAUUUUAAAUUAUUCGUAAUUGCAAUUAUAGAAUUAAUGGGAUAGUUUUUAUAAUUUAUUUAGUUGAUAGUUAAAAUAAAUAACAUUAGAAUUAAUAGUGGAUAAUUUCUACUACUCUCAAAAUUAGGCUUAAAUAAUAACCAAAGUAGUAAAUAUUCUGUAAAAAGAAAUAAGUUUUAGGCAGUAAUCAUAUCUGCAGACUGUAACCUCGAAGAAAGGACGAUAAUUUCAGGUAAAGAAUCAACCUUCGUAGAUUUUAUAUGUAUGACAUAGAUUGUAGGAUUAAUUAUUUAAUGAUGGGAAUGACCAUUAACAGUAAUGGACAAGCUUUAAGGGAAUGAAUAUGUGGUUGUUUUGGCUUAUGCACAUUGUUCUCCAAUACAAGUUACUUAUUGUAACUUAGUGGCCAUGCUAUAUUGUAUGAUUAUAAGAGUAUUAUAUUGUAAAUUAUUAGUGUAGUUUGAUGAGUACUGUAUGUGAGUGGAUUUCUUCCGUGGUAGGAUUUGUACGUGGCUCAGAGGUAGUGCCACUGGUUUUGUAACCAACGGCCGAAACUUUAAUUAUUUUUUAAUAUUAUUAUAUUACUCCAUCUGUUUAAAAAAAAUGUUCAUAUGUUUUUUUUAGUCUUUUACAAAAAGAAUGAUUAAUUUUUUUUUUGACAACACUUUAAUUUUACUUUUCCACCUGGCAUAUUUAAUAUUCCGAAAUUAAGGGCAUUUUAGUAUAUUUGACAUAACAUUAAUUUAGAGCUAUAAGAUAAAAAAGUUUUCUUUCUUUCUUAAACUCUGUUUCAAAUCAGAUUAGACCAUCCUUUUUGAAACGGAGGAAGUACGUUAUAAAGUGAAAGUGUGCAUAUGUAUAGUAUUUGAUGUUAGAUGAAUGGUGAGAGAAAAGUUAGGACAGAACAUUAAUAAUGUAAAGAAUUAGAGUAUUAAAGUGUAAUUGUAUAGAUGGAGGUGUUGCCACUGGUUUCGUAACCAGUGGCUCGAACCUUUAAAUAUUAAAAUGUUUUAUCUUAUUACAAAUUAUAUGUUGAUGUAUUGAGAUAGAUAAUUAAAUAUCAGUGUAUUGUAUUAUUUUAACUUCAUUAAAGUUACGCUAAUAGAAAGAACUUAGAAUAUUCUUCGGCUUGAACUUUAGAAAAUUAAUUAUAGAUUUGGGUGUUUAUAUACUCGUUAAUGUACAAAUUUUAUAUACUUCAUAGAAUUGAAAGGUUUGGAGGCAUUAAGGAAAGGAAAAGUAAUGAGAAAGUAGCUUGUUUGAUUUCAGAUCUUUCGUGGAGGUAAGUUAUGGUUUAUUCUAUUUGAUAGAUAAACUUUCAAUAGUGAUUAAUAUGUAUUGAAUGAUAUUGUGUAGUACUCUAUGUACUUGAUUGUGCGAUUGUGUAACUUGGUUUUGUGGUUUGUGGGGCCUGAAAUCGUGAGACCAUGAAAUUUAUAAUCUUGAACCCUCUCUAUCGAACUGAUGCCUGGAAUAAAGAAGACUUGAUGAAAUAUUGUUAAUGAAUUGAUAAGUGGUGAUAAUAAAUGAUUGACUGAAUAUUGGAUCGGAGUAUCACGUUCUGACACGGUAUAAUUGGAUCGUAGUGUUACGCUUCGACACGGUAACAUUAAAGGAAAAAGAUAUUGAAUUAACUUAAUGUACUCGAUCUAAAAUAACCCAUUUCCCAAAUGAGCGUGGUGUGGAGGCAUGAGUCCCCAUAUGUGUUUGAUAUUUUGAUCGAUUAAGUACUCACUUUAGUGUUGCUGUCACUGGUUUAUGUUGUUUGUUGAUUGCCACCUGUUAAGUGUCAUAGUUGAUUUUAUAGUAUUAUUCAUUGUAUAUUAAUUUCUAUUUUGGGUUGGCCGUUGAUACCUACUCAGUACAUAUUACUCCAUACUGCCUUACUUGUGUUUUUCUUCAUUUUCCUUUAGUGGAGUGCAACGAGUGUACCAGCAACUUUGACUCGCCUUAAGCUCUAGCCAGUCUCAGCAUAUCAGGUUGACGGGCGAGCUAUUCAUUUGAGAUUGUAUUGGAUUUUCACGGUCAUGACUUGGUGUCCUUAGUUUUUUAUCACAAAUUACUUUAUUUCAUUUAUUUUGAUGUCUUUGAUACUCUUACUUAGUAUUUGAAGAUUAAAUGUCCUUAAUGUGAUGAAUUUCAGAUUUUGGAAAUAAUAUGUAAAAGACUUUAGAGGUUUAUUUGAUUAGUUACUAUAUUAAGUUAGGAUCUUCUGUACUAUUGUUAUUAUUUGUAGUUGCAUUAUUAGUAUAUGUUGAAGUUGAAUUCCUUGGUUCGCCCACUUAGGAGGUUGGGUGUCACUCACGACUCAAUUUGGAUCGUGACAAACAUGGUAUCAAGCGUUAGGUUCGAUGAUCUCAUCACAGGUCAAUUCUAGUAGAGUCUUGCAGAAUAGUUUGGAGACGCUUUACUUUUCUUCGAGAGGCUAUAGGAUUUUAGGAAAACUUCAUUCCUUCUUUCUUUCGUGAUACUACUUGAUUCCAAGUAAUACCUAGGUGAUACAACUUGGUAUCUGAACUUAAACACUCUGCUUAGGUACUAGAGUAUUAGAAGUUGAAAUAUCAACACAAAAAAAAAUGUGUCCUUGAAAAUAUGUAUUUUUUCUUGAUUGACUACAGGGCGUGUAAUGACUAGUGAUCAGCAUGAUUUUUUUACUAAGUUCAUAAAAUUGAAACCCUCAUUCUUAUUAAUUUUGAAGAUGCUUAUGCUUUCGUUGUUGAUUAUUUUGACUUGCUUCAUAAAAUGAAUAUAGUGAAGGGGCUUAGUGGUAGCCUCAUGUUGAGUGACGAUUAGUAAAGGCACUACAUAUGACUUAAGGCAUCUUUUUCUGGCUUCUUCAUCCAAUUAUAUGCCCUAAACUUUGAGCAAUAGAAGGAGGAUGAUUUCGUGAAUCUAGUGAAAUGAAAGAUAUGUGUUGCAGCCUAUGAGAUCAUAUUUUGUACUUUAUCUAGAUAUGUAACAACAUUCAAGAAGUUUUGUAAGUGACAACUAGAAAAUAAAUAUCUUUACUUUAGAAAAUACAGUCGGUGAAGUUUUCAUAACAUGUAUGAGUUGGUUAGUGAAUGAUGAAAUUAGAUUGUGCCAAUUGAAGUUAAAUUUUUAUUAUGAGUUCAGGCAUUGAUUGUAUUUUAAAGAGUCUCAUGAUAGUACCAACGAUUACUUGGUUAGAUUUACAAAGUGUGUUACUUUUGUUAUCAACCUAAUCUAAGAAAGAAUUCCAAUUGCUUGGGCUAAAGAAGGAACAAAUUGAGUAAUAUUUUACAACUAUUCAAUGGGUAGAAAUGUGUGGACUAUUUGUGUACGAGCUUCUCGAUAAGUAUGAUGUGUUCUAGUGAUGGAUUUAAUGGCCUUUCAUGGUACAAUACUAGUGUUACGUGGAAACGAAUAUAAUGUUUGUCAAGUGUGAAUACUAACUACUUAAAGAUUCAUCAGUUUUAUGACAUGUUUAGAUAGUGAGAUUCGUUAUUGUUUUCACAUUUGAGAAAGCAACUAGUUAUUACUACGGGCGGUUAGAUUGAGCAUUAUUUUUAUGAAAAAUUUUAGUGGUAGAUCUUUGGUACAAUAUUAAUACAUUUAGGUUGUGAGAUGUAUAUUGAGGGUUCUAAAUGAGGACAUGUGAUUUUAUGUUAACCUUCAAAGGGUAGAUUGAUACUAGAAUGACAAAUUUAUAGGGAAAGAAAGUGCUAGUGAAUAUACUUAUGCAAAGUAAAUUGAAGAUUUUAUUAAAUGUGAGUAUAAAGUUGGUUUAGUCCCUAUGUUUAAGGUGUCAGGUCAAGGAAAAAUUUCACUUCGUAGUGAUGACAAGGGCUAACUGAGCAUGAUGUUAAAAAAAAUUGUGAGGGAAUUUCAUUGGGAUGAAACUACAGUAUUUGGAUUUGUUGGAUAAGUGAAUUUUGUAUGGUAAUAAAGACUUGUGAGUAUCUAAGGUUGUGAUUUUCUACUAUUUAGGGAGUAAUGUUGUUUAAUGGAACGUUUUAGGGGAUGUUGGGCCACCGCUCGAAUUUGUGGGAUGUGUAGCCUUCAAAAAUAGGGGAGAGCAAAAAUAGUUUCUCUUACUACAAGGGCUAAAAAUGUAUCUUCAAAGGGUAGAGAAUUAGAUUAGGGACGUAUGAUUUUAUCUAUUUUGUUUUUGUUAAGGUAAUAGUAUCACAUGUUCAUCAAAUUGGUUAAAUUUUUUUGGAUAAGACUUGAGAAAAGAGUGUACAUACGUUCAACACGAAUGUGACGAUAAGUUCUUUUGUGAUUUUGAGUUUACUAAUGAGUACUAUUUAAUUUUUAGCGGAGGAUAUGGUAAGAUCUAUGAAGAGACAAUCAAUAAUAAGUUUAGAUAUAGAAUUCUUAAAAAUCUUCAAUGUAUGAGCAAAUGAUGAUAGAUAAGAGGAUUGAGUUACACAGUUGAGUUUACAAUUCAAAUUUUUUAUUAUAUGUCUACAUUUAUGGUGAUAUGUUUAGUCAAGAUAUGAAUUGGUAAGAUAAAAAAAUGAUUGAUUGCAUCGGUAUUGAGCAUGUGAAAGAACUUAUUCAUGUUUUGAACCAUAAAGUUUGUUAUUUUUUAUUGUUAAAGGAUCUAAGGGAGGGUUUCCAUCAGAGUUUUGAUUUUAGAGUGUGAAGUAAAGUGUUACGGGUUGUUGGUAAAAGGAUAAGAUCGGUAAGUCAGCUAGAGAAACAAGAGUCGGAUAAAUUCAAGGGUCAAGAUAUUUAGAAUUUUGCAUCAUCAGAAGAAUUUGAGGAAAAUGAAUGAAUAAGACCUCUCAAAUAAAUCCUUGGGGUGUAGUUGAAGGUUAUAUUGAUUUUUGCCUACAUAUUUAGAUAUGACUGUUAGAUUUGAACAAGUUCGGUACAGACUUACUAGGAGGUUAUCAUUGACUUUUAUAAAGAUUGAGUUUUGAUUUGGGUGACAAAUAGUGAUGUAUGGAAAAUUUAGUCUUUUAAGUGGGGUUAGAUUUCUCAAAUUAUGUUAAAUAACUUACGAAUGAUGUACAAGAUGAUAUAUAAUUCUACAUGGUUAAUAAUAAUUUAGAGUUGGGUUAAUACUCCUCUAUUAAUAGGACUACAUAGAAUGUUAAGAUGCAUUAAAUAGACAUUUGAUGGUGAAUAGAGAUAAUGAGUUUAUAGUAUACCGAAUAAUUUGAGUGACCGAGAAUUUUUCUAAGUGUUGGCAUGAGGUAUGUGAUGGUUUACAAAUUUAGCUAAAGCAUGGUAUGUGGAAGUGGUGUGGAGUUAAUUUUGAGUGUGAUUUUAUAGUUUUAUCUUGAUGGAAAGGUACUAUAAAUUUUGAAUUAGUGCUACUAGCCUUGUUUUAGACUCGUACUUUUCAUGAAAUGCUUAAAUAGAAAGAGAUAUAACCAUAUUUUGAACAUGUAUUUUGUAAAAAUACUUUAAUUUUGAUGAUGGUUUGGGAGUAAGGUAGAUGAUUAGUGUGGUUAUGAUGUUUUGUUAGUAUUAAAGUGUUGAGUUCAGUGAAUGUGGGGUUUGAUAAACCAAGUAUUUGCGCACUAAUAAUAGGGACUAAAUUAGUGAUUGUGGAUAGAUGGAAAAUCAAAGAGAUAGAGUCAGAUGAAUGAAAAUAUUUGAUAUGGACACUAUGGAAGAAGUAUCUAGAGUGAUUCAACCUGGGUUAUGUAUCAAUUAUGUGAUUGUCCUCCUGGUAAGGCGGCAUCCUAGGUUAGACUUGUUGAUUCAGUUGUGGAAGAUUUGAUGUUGUUUGGGAUAGUUGAAGUACACUAGUAAUUCUACAUGCACAAUUUUAUUUAUGAGAAUUUAUAGGAUAGCUACCAUGAAAAUUUAAAGUUGUUCAAUGGACUUAAGAUUUAUCUCAUCAUCAAUAUCAUGUUUUGACUAUGUGAGAUUGAAUGUGAGGACCUUUCAAUCUAGUUUUGUCAUUCUUAUGAUUUGUUUAUAAUAGUUAUUAAUCUAGGAAUUUGAUAAUGUUAUUAGAGGUUAUGUAUGCUUGGGUGUAUCGCUCGAUGGGUGGUUACUAGAUCAUUCUUUUUCUUUGGGUUAGAUAAGUUUUGUUCUCCCUUGAUGAGUAUCAGAUGUCCAAAGAUUAAUUUUUUAUAAUUUAAGCUUGAGAAAAGUUUAUGUUGUUAGAAGGAAAUAUUGAUAAUACCUAUGAGCGUGUGUGCCUUAUGAGUGUGUGGUGGUUAUUUCAAGUUCACUAAUGAUUAUAAUCCGUAUUGGUUUUGAGAUCUUAUCAUGGUUAUAUGAAAAGAUAUUCCACCAAAUGGUUGUGUCAAGGUCCUUGAGAACAUGUUUAGGCUGCAAUUAUUUUGCAACAUCAUCAAUGGCGGUCGAUGUUAACUACAACAGCACAUCAAAGAUUGUUGGAAGAAGAAAAAUUACAUAGGAGUGUGACAUAGAUCAUUGGGAAAAUGGGCUACGGAAAUUGGAAAUCUAAGAAGGGAAGCUAGAGUGUGGCUUGGAACUUUUACUACGACUGAGGACGGAGGUAGAGCUUAUGAAAAAGCAUCUAUUGAAUUUUAUUGAAAAACAGAAUGAUAAUGAUAAGGCGGACUUUUCAAAAUCAAAGAAGAAGUUCCAGCGUAAUCUUGAGCGUACACGUGUCCUCGUUGAUAUACACCUAGAACCUCCUACGAAAGCUUCUAGAUUGUAUUUUGUAUUUUCUUCUUAUCUGUUGCAGUGUAUUGGAAAUAUUAUUUUAUACAUCAAAUUAGUUUGUCAAGGAAUAACAAAUAGUUAGUGGUCAUUUGUCCAGGUAGUUAGAUUUUAUUCUCUACAUAAUGAAAUGAUGCACAUCAAAAGAGAAAAUACAGAAGACAAUAUUUCCAAAUUGUUUCGUCUCUUUUCCAAUAUGGUAUCACAGCAGGUCCUGUGAAGAAACCUACUCAAAGCUUUUUGCAUAUAUUUUUCUUCCUCUUGAAUCUAUAUCAAUUUUUGUUUGAAGAUCUUUUGAGAUGGUUUUAUAUUACCACUACAAAUUCUUCUACAUCUUCUGAGACUGUUGUUCACACAAUAGUAAAUCAUAUCAAUUUUUCUCAUCCUUAUACAUCUCACAUUUUAUACCAGGGAUGCUUCUUGUUAAUACCCCAUUUAAUAUGAAGGGUUUUACAGGUUGCAAACGAGAAUUUUUUAUUGCUUUGACUGCUAAGAACAAGAUAGGUUUGAUUGAUGGUUCCUCUCCUAAACCAACACCUGAUUCAGAGCUGCAUAAGGCUUGGCUUAGGGCCUAUAAUAGGGUAGUAUCUUGGCUCUUGAAUUCUCUUUCUCGUGAAAUUUAUUAGAGUGUUAUAUAUUUCUCUACUGCUAAAGAACUUUAGAGUGACCUUCAGGUGUAGAUUUAGGAUAAAGAAGCGGGGCUAAGCUAUUUCAGCUACAAAAAACGCUGAGUGAUCUUGUUUAAGGUGCGACUGACAUUGCAAUCUACUAUACCAAGAUGAAAAGUCUAUAAGAUGAAGUCGACAACUUAGAUGCUUCAAUUCUUUACACCUUUGAAGUAAGAGGUAGAAAUAUUAAAGUGAAACAAGAUGCGAGGUUGGUACGGUUCUUGAUGGGACUUGCUUCCCUCAUGAUCUCACCUCUUCCUUGCAUAGCUAAUGCAUAGGGUCUUUUGAUGCAAGAGGAAAAAAAGAAAAAUGCACAACACUCCUAAAUACCCAAGAGAGUCUUCUUCUUCUAUCGGGUAGGACAAAAUAGUGGAAAUCAGAGGCCAAAUUCUUCAAAUCUAUAAAGGCAGAGGUUUUUUCACUGAACACAGAAAAUAUGGAUUGACUUGCAGAUAUUGCAAAAACCAUGGACACACCAUUGAUAAGUGCUAUAAAAUACAUGGUUUUCCAUCCAAUUUUAAGUUGACUAAGAAAAAAUCUUUUCAAAAUUAUGUCCAUGUAAUACAGUGCUCCGCAAUGAAGGAUAUGGGGCUCAGUUCAUGUAUAAUAGGGAUACGAGUGAGAAAACGCAAGCCUCUUACUAAGGAAUAGUUGGAACAAGUGAUAUUGUUGCUUCACCAAAUAAAACCUGAUGAUUAUGGCACUAAUUCCCUUGCUUCUGCUAGUAACAAUUGUGCUGGUACAAUUCACAUUCCUUUCCCUUUUAGUUCAAAUCAUUUGAGGACUACCAUCCGUAGGAAAUCUUGGAUAAUAGACUCGGGUGCAACUGAGAGCAUGAGUUUCAAUAAGGAUCUAUCGCUUUCUUUAUUACCUUUGACUAGAUUUAUCUUUGUACAACUACCAAAUUCUCAAAAUGUUGAGGUCACUCAUGGAGGUUCUGUCAAGCUUUUUACACAAAUAGUAAUUCAUGAUGUUUGGUUCGUUCUCUCUUCACAAACUAUGCCUUUAGUUUGGUUAUCAUCUUAUGUUUAAUUCCUCUCAUUGUCUGAUACAGGGCCCUUCAAUGAAGAGCCCCAAGGUCCUUGGUGAUUUCCAAAAUGGUCUCUACGUGUUGCAGCCCAGUUCUCUGUUUGUCUUCUAGGCUAGCCCUUCCCCUGGCUUGGUUGGUUAUAUAAGAGAAUCCCGGGAGAAAGCAAGUUAGAUCUUACUUAGGGCGAAAGAUUUCUUGGAUGGUUCAUUCCAGUCUGAAGUCAGUCAAGUCAUAGAAUUGACAGAAGUUCUUUCCUUUUCUGAUGUAAACAGUAGGCUGUGGCACAUUAGGUUAGGUCACAUGCCUUUAUCCAACAUGAAAAACAUCAAUGGAAUUUCUAAUUCAGUUUGUUCUAAAUUCAGUUUCCCUUGUGAUACUUUUCCUCUGGCUAAGCAAGCUAAACAAACAACCUUUUAAUUUAAUCCAUAUUGACACUUGGGGAUCAUAUAAAGUUCCGACUAAUGAUGGUUUCAACUAUUUCCUUACUAUAGUUGAUGACUAUAGUAAGGGAAACCUGGACUUAUUUGUUGGCCACCAAAAGCAUUGCUUUAUAAUUUUGAAAUCUAUUCUCAUCAUAAUUGAAACAAAAUUCAAUAAAAGGGUUAAUAUCAUCAGGUACGAUCAUGCCUAGGAAUCGGGUAGUAGUUUUGAGUAUUGCUCUUUCUUAAAUUCUUGGGGCAUUCUACAUCAAACAUCCAGUGUGGACACACCACAACAAAAUGACAUAGUAGAACGCAAACAUAGACAUUUUUUGGAGGUGUCAAAAGCCCUGUUACUUCAAUCUAAACUUCCACAAAUUCUGGAGGGACUGUCUCAUGACAACCACUUUUUUGAUAAAUAGGUGUCCUACGAGAAUCCUACAUUUCAAAAAUCCUUUUGGAAAGCUUUUUGGGACUACACCCGAUUAUUUUAUCCUUGAUGCUUUGGCUGUCUAGGAUUUGCCUCUACUGUAUCAUCAGGAAGUUCUAAAUUGGACCCUAGGGCGAAAACCUGUUUGUUUUUGGGAUAUUCUUUUGGGAAGAAGGGAUAUAAAUUACUUAGUCUUCCUUCUCAGAAAAUUUUAGUGUUCAGAAAUGUUGUCUUUCAUGAAAACAUUUUUCCUUUUUCUUGCAUAACCACAAAGUCUCUUUUAUUUCCAGUAAGGUUCGUUCCUGAUUCCAUUAAUGACACAGCUCAUAUACCUUUCUCCUCACCUCCUACCAUGGACUCUCCUUGUCCUUUCCUCAUCUUGAAACUGAGUUUCCUGGUUUGCCUCCUCCUAUUCCGAUUCAUAUUCCUACUCCAACUGAGGUUCCUUCCAUUAAUCCUCUUAUUUUGCGCAAAUCCUCUCGAGUGGUUAAAACCCCAUCUUAUUUAGAAGAUUAUAUCUGCAACCCAGUUUUCUUAACAAAUGUUUCCUUAGACUGUUUCUUGUCACCCGUGUCUCCUCUUUCUGUUUCUUUUUUUAGUAUCUCCUCUUCCAACCAGCACUUACUUAACUCCAUUUCCCACAUCAAUGAAACAACCAGUUAUUCCAAAUAUCUUGUACACCCUGGGUGGAAAGAAGCCAUGACAAAGGAAACUUAUGCCCUGAUUGUCAAUGAUACUUGGGAUGUAGUUGACUUACCCCAUGCGAAGAAAAAUUUACUUUGCAAAUGGGUGUAUAAGGUGUGUUGACACUCCCUAAAAUAAAUUAUUUUAAACGAUUUGAAAUAAUUAAAUUCUAUAAAAUUCAUACAAAUAUAUAUAUGUAAAUAAAAUGGUUUUAAAUUAUCCUAGGUUAAUCUUACUACUUAUAAUUUUUAGAUGAUACAUGAGAAUAAUUUAGUCUUACUUAACACUUUGUUAGGUUACUUUUGUCUGAAUUAGUAGUUCAUAUUUUGAGUCAUCGAUUUAUAACCAAGUCAUUUUAUUUUAUCUCGAUAGAAUUAAAAAAAAAGCUUGUUGAUAAAUUCAUUUUAUAUUAACCUUAGUCUAUUCGUUUAAUUCUAUUCAAAAGACAAGGUGUUGGUCCUACUCUGCAUCAGCCCAAUCGUCCCUAAAUUGAAACCAGCCCUAUGUAAUUAUUCCUAGAAAAGGCCCACUCCCAGCCCACUUCUCCCUAACCCAAUCUCAUAAGAUCAAAAUUCAAUCCAAUUUCUUAUAUCCAAUUAACCGACCCGCGUCAAUCUCUCUUCUUCCUCGCGUGGCCAUAUGCCAAGUCCAAGGAAGAAACCCAGGCGCGUGAGCAACGAGGGCAAGCGUAACGGGAAAGCGAGGAAAAUCAAGCCGGUAUACUCCAACUUUGUUUUCUUCCUCAAAGCGUUCUUUAUCGUCUGAUAUCGCAGCACGCAAGAACCGUCCUUGGAAUAACGGGAAAGUGAAGGUUGUUUUGUGUAUUAGCUCGUCUUGUCCAGUCGCCGCCCACAACAAGGUAAACAACUCGUAAUCUUUGGUUUCUCUUUUUGAGUUGAUUUGAUGGGUAGUUCUUCCGAGAUCCUAAGAUGAGUUUCUGCGAUGUGUUCAAUUUAUGUUUUUCCCUUCAUUUUUUUUAAUGUUAGUAUGUGUUUUUUUUCUUAGUGGUUUAAUACUUGCUUAAGCUCAUAUCGCCGACCAUGUCCUCUUCUAUUGCGCGAUUGUCAUGCUUGCCUCAAGCUUGAAUUAAUCAUGUCAAUCACCUUGACUCAGUUCACUGAAGUAAUUUUCCCAUUUUGGCUACAUAUUCAUUAGUUUGAAGAAGUUUAUCUCCUUAUUUCCCAAUGUAUUUUCAAGUGGUUAUUUGAGGUCACAUUAACAUGACGAGUGUGUUCUUAGUCGUUUCAUCCUGUUAGCUUCAAUAGAAUAAAAACUUUUUUCAUGAAUUUGUGCUCAACGGUGUGGCCUCUCUUUUUUUGGGGGGAAGGGUCUGACUUGUGCUAUGAUAUUUCUGCUUGCAUAUUUGUUUAGUUAGGCCAAAUCUUUUAUCGUGUUUUGCUGGUCCUAUGCCUCAAAAGUUCUGUUCUUUCUUAUUUCAUUUUGCUACUGGUAGUACUGUUUUUCUUUAGAAUAAGAUGAAAAUGUAUAUUGUAUUAUCGAUUAUUAGUUUGGUGCUAAUGCUCGUUUUCCUCCCGUUCUCAAACCCUCGUGGUUCAACUGCCUAUUUAGUUUCUAUAAUUUUUGGGAUUGGUGUUGUUGACACAUAUUCUGCCUCCAUAUCUGAUGUUUCUCCCCCCUUAAUGUGUCUAUACGUUUUUCAUCCUUUGUUUGCUGCAAAACUUUGGCGUUAAAUCAAGUUGUAUGAAGUGAUAAGUCGGUAUGUUAAGAUCUUUGUAGUAAUUUAGUUCGAGAUAUCAUGUAAUUUUAGGCUAUUAUAUAUUAAUCCCCGGCCAAUGUCUUUCUCUUUGUUGAUAUGUUUUGUAUAAAGUUUUUACUAAUAUCAUGUAUUUUCUUCUUUAAUUGCUUAAAUGUGUCUGAAUACAAUAUGCAUCCUCCUGAGCUAUUUUGAGUUUAUUUGUCUGCUAGGAAGAAAAGUUUUUGUUUAUGUAUGCAUUACUUUGUUAUAAUAAAAUUGAUUUUGGUUGUUUAUAAUUUCUGGGAUUUUUAGUUUUUUUUAUUGGUCUUAUAUUGUUUCAUCCUUGAGUUGGGAAAUACUAAUUUAUGAUAGGAGGAAUCCGCUGUGAAAUGUUGACCCGUUUGCAUCAUGUUGAUCAUCGUUGUCCCGUAAUAGUUUAUAUGCUUAUUGCUGGAAAUUUUUGCUUAUCAUUUUAAUUAGUCCCUUUUACCUGUAUAUCCCCUCUAUCUCUAAGUCACAAUAGCCUUGUUCAUUAAUUAAAAUUGGUAUUAAUUUAUUGUUUUCUGCAUAUUUUGAGUUAUGUGCAAGUUUAUGACACAUAUAUUUUGCGUCUUGAUUUUCCUUUCAUGGGGUUUAUUAGACAAGUUAGGAUUUGGAAUUUCACAUAUUAUGUUUUGUUCACCAAAUUUGCUACUACCAUUUAAUUUUAUGAGUGGUGACGUGUUUUGGCAAAUUUUAAUGGAUUGUAUCAUGGGGUGGAUCCUCUGAAUUAUUGUCCCUUCAUAAUGUUUGGCAGUUGAGAUAACGGAACAUGAUCCCUCCCUUAGUUUUUUUCUAUACAUAUUAUUAUAUUCAUUAAAUAAUGACUUGUUACCUAUAUAUUUCAUAUAUUCAUUCUUGUUACAUGUGAGCGUCGAUGGAAUCUUUUGGAUCCAAAUCUCCUAUGCAUUUCGGGUUGCUUAAAACCCAAACUUCAUUAUCGCAAAUCGGCCAUAUUCUUUAAAAUUUGAGUUAGGUUCAUCGGAAAUCGGCGCACAGGUCCCGAAGUUGCAAGGUCAAGAAGUAGGAGAUUUGAAGAAGUGGUCCAAAUUAUCAUGGAAAUAUUGUAUUUUAUUUUUCUGUGGCCCAAGUCCUUUUGUAUAUUAUUAUCUUAGUAGUUUAGGACAGAUACAAAUCAAAUAGGCCCAAGGCCUAAAGCAAAAACAAAGGGAUCCAAAUAUCGAUUCACGUGCACAGAAAUCGAAUUUGGACUCGACCCUCUCUUUUUCUCUCUCUCA